UGCAUUAUCUCUUUUUGGCCGAAAGCUAAGAAGAAAAAGAAAUCAUUUUGAAGCUUGCAAGUUCGGCACUUUGAUGUCUUAAAUUAGAUCAAGAAAGGAAGAAAUUAGAUUUGGAUCGGGGGAAGUCGAAAGUUGUUGAAUAGUCGUUCCGAUCCGUUCGUUUCCGUACGAGAUAUAUAAAGCUAGCUUUGAGCUCGAGAAUCGUCAAGGAUCAUCAUCACACUAUUGACCAUUAUUCGGUACUUUUGAAGUUUGUAACUAAGACAUAUGGCAUGUAUAGGCUAGUUUUGUUAUGGUUAGUUUUGAAUUGUUUAUAAAUAGCCAUGCGAGGAUGGCUUGAUAAUGAUGUUCAAUAUGAUGUAUUUUUGGUCAUGAUAUAAGCUCAUUUUGGGAAGUAUGUUUCAUGGUA